UGAAUGGGGAAACCCACUUACAUAAGUAAGUAUCCUGUUGUGAAUACAUAGCAACAGGAGGCAAACCGGGGGAACUGAAACAUCUAAGUACCCCGAGGAAGAGAAAUCAACCGAGAUUCCGAAAGUAGCGGCGAGCGAAAUUGGAUUAGCCCUUAAGCUUUUAAUGAUGCAGGUGAAGAGUCUGGAAAGUCUCGCAAUAAAGGGUGAUAGCCCCGUAACCGACACAUCAUAAUCAGUGAAAACGA
rnacentral:rRNA from 1 species